rnacentral:pre_miRNA from 1 species
CAAAUACUCCCUCCGUCCAACAAAAAAUGUCUCAAGUUUGUCAAAAUUUGGAUGUAUUUAGACAUGACUUAGUGUAUAGAUGCAUUCAAAUUUAGUCAAAGUUGAGACAUCCUUUGUUGGACGGAGAGAGUAUAAG